UUACGGCCAUAUCAUGUUGAAACACCGGUUCUCGUACGAUCACCAAAGUUAAGCAACGUCGAGCCUGAUCAGUAUUUAGAUGGGUGACAAAUUGGGAAUACCAAGUGAUGUAAG